rfam:Triticum aestivum genome assembly, contig: Triticum_aestivum_CS42_TGACv1_scaffold_527901_6DL
UUCAUACUAUCCCUCCGUUCGGAAUUACUCGUCUAAGAAAUGAAUGUAUCUAAAUGUACUUUAGUUGUAGAUACAUUCAUUUUUUGUGACAAGUAAUUUCGAACGGAGGGAGUACUAG